GAGUUUUUCCAGCGUGGUGAGAGAACCCAUGGAUUAAAGACUGUAAAAGCAUUUCUAAGAAGCAGAGUAACUGAGUAACAGUACUGGAUGUGAGGAUGGGACACACUCUGCUCUGUGGGCUGGGGGUUUUCUCCCUGAGUCUACUUCUCUACUGUGGACAUGCUCAAGAUGCUGUGCUGACCAUUGAACCAAACUGGUCCACUUUAUUUACCGGAGAGUCUGUUACCUUCAUAUGUAACAUGAGGGUGGGAAAAGACACCGACUGGUAUUAUACAAUCCACAGGGAUGGUCGAGUAUUUCUCCCCUUCGGCUCAGAUAAGAGAUAUACAUCACGAUCUCUAUCUAAAGGCCACAGUGGUGAAUACCAGUGCAUUGGUAAUCACAAGCCCUCAGCACAUUCUAGAAAACAAAGUAAUAAAGUCUCU